UUUUUUUUCUAUACAAAUAUACAGUAACAGUAGGAUGUCUGUAGUUCACGUUACAAUCAGGCAGAAAUCAAACCUGCGUUAAACUUUGUAUUUAGCCCAUAAGAGCAGGGAUAAUAUUCGUCAAGGAACAGCUGUAGCUCAAUCAGGCUAGACCCAGGUGUAAAUGCUGCAAUCAGUUUCCAAGUACCGAUGAAGUGACAACCUGUCGGUGUGGAAGCUUAAAGGAUGAAAAGAUUCUA